rnacentral:lncRNA from 1 species
UGGUGAAGUCAGUUGACCAUGAAGUUACUCCAAAUACAAUAUCAACAGGAACCCACAGAUGAUAGGAACAAAUGGUUUCCAACAAUGGUAUAAAUACUUACUCGACUUGGACAGUUGUAAAUGAUAGUAACAGGUAUAAUUAUGGUACUAAGAUUGAAGGCAAUAGAAGGUUUAGAUGGCAGAGGAGAUAGAGGAUUGGGCUUGGAAUCGUGAAAACCUGAGUUUGUCUCUUGCCCCCCAUAUGAUGUGAACUUAGGCAAAUAAUUUUAUCUUUUUCAGCCUCGGUUUUCUCAUCUGUAAAAUGAAGGAAUUGGAUUUGAUGGCUUUUGUGGUCCCUUCUAACCCUAAAUCCAUUAUACUAUGAUCCUUAAAUGAAUAAUAAAGUGGAGGAAUUCCAUGGAGACUGGAACAACCUCCAGGAAGUGAUGCAGAGUGAGAGGAGCAGAACCAGGAGAAUAUUGUACACAGAGACUUACACAUUGUGGUACAAGAGAACGUAAUGGACUUCUCCAGUAAUGGCUUUACAAUGUCCCUGAACAGCCUGAAGCAAUCUACGUGAUUAAAAAAAAAAAAGAAACUAAACUAUCCUCAAGCAGAGGACAAACUGAGGGAGUAAAAACACCGAGGAAAAACAACUGCUUGACUACAGAGGUUGAGGGGACAUGAUCGAGGAGAGAUGCUAAAUGAACGCCCUAAUGCAAAUACCAACAAUAAGGAAAUGGGUUCAGAGCAAGGACACAUGUGAUACCCAGACGAAUUGCGCAUUGGCUAGGGAGGGGGUGAGGUGUUUGAGGGGAAGGAAAAGAAAAUGAUCUGUUUCCAAUGAACAAUGUAUGAAAAUGACCAAAUAAAAUAAUGUUUAAAAAAAAAAAAGAGGAGAGA